UGAGCAAUCUGCCCUUCUCAUCGGAAUAAGCGUUGGAAACGACGUCUAAUGCCGAAUACGACCUCCUUUCGCAUGAUCGGAGGUGGAAAGCUCCGGCGGAGAAGGAUGAGCUCGCGGCCUAUCAGCUAGUUGGUGUGGGUAAUGGCCCACCAAGGCGACGACGGGUAGCCGGCCUGAGAGGGUGACCGGCCACACUGGAACUGAGAUACGGUCCAGACUCCGUACGGGAGCAG
rnacentral:rRNA from 1 species